UAGCGUAGGGGGCAAGCGUUUGUCCGGAUUUAUUGGGCGUAAAGCGCGUGUAGGCGGCUUGGCAAGUCGGGUGUGAAAGCCCUCAGCUCAACUGAGGAAGUGCGCCCGAAACUGCUUUGCUUGAGUGCUGGAGAGGGUCGCGGAACUUCCCCAAGUAGAGGUGAAAUUCGUAGAUAUGGGGAGGAACACCGGUGGCGAAGGCGGCGACCUGGACAGUAGCUGACGCUGAGACGCGAAAGCGUGGGUAGCAAACAGG
rnacentral:rRNA from 1 species